rnacentral:tRNA from 1 species
GCGCCUAUAGCUCAACUGGAUAGAGCGUUGGUUUGCGGAACCAAAGGUUGGAGGUUCAAAUCCCCCUAGGCGCA